rnacentral:rRNA from 1 species
UACAGAGGGUGCGAGCGUUGUCCGGAAUCACUGGGCGUAAAGGGCGCGUAGGUGGUGGCUUAAGCGUGCGGUGAAAGCUCGGGGCUCAACUCCGAGUCGGCCGUGCGAACUGGGCUCACUGGAGCAUAGUAGAGGCAGGUGGAAUUCCGGGUGUAGCGGUGGAAUGCGUAGAGAUCCGGAAGAACACCGGUGGCGAAGGCGGUUAGCUGGGCAGUUGCUGGACACUGAGGCGCGACAGCGUGGGGAGCAAACAGGG